rnacentral:rRNA from 1 species
AGUCGAACGAGAGGACAUGGGAAGCUUGCUUCCUAUGAAAUCGAGUGGCAAACGGGUGAGUAACGCGUAAACAACCUGCCCUUCGGAUGGGGAUAACAGCCGGAAACGGCUGCUAAUACCGAAUACGAUCUUUUCGUCGCAUGACGAAAAGAAGAAAGGAUGGCCUCUAUACAAAGCUAUCGCCGAAGGAGGGGUUUGCGUCUGAUUAGCUGGUUGGAGGGGUAACGGCCCAACAAGGCGAUGAUCAGUAGCCGGUCUGAGAGGAUGAACGGCCACAUUGGGACUGAGACACGGCCCAGACUCCUACGGGAGGCAGCAGUGGGGAAUCUUCCGCAAUGGACGAAAGUCUGACGGAGCAACGCCGCGUGAGUGAAGAAGGUCUUCGGAUUGUAAAGCUCUGUUAUACGGGACGAAAAAGACGGAUGCCAACAGUAUCCGUCCGUGACGGUACCGUAAGAGAAAGCCACGGCUAACUACGUGCCAGCAGCCGCGGUAAUACGUAGGUGGCAAGCGUUGUCCGGAAUUAUUGGGCGUAAAGGGCGCGCAGGCGGUUCGGUAAGUCUGUCUUAAAAGUGCGGGGCUUAACCCCGUGAGGGGACGGAAACUGUCGAACUUGAGUGUCGGAGAGGAAAGCGGAAUUCCUAGUGUAGCGGUGAAAUGCGUAGAUAUUAGGAGGAACACCGGUGGCGAAAGCGGCUUUCUGGACGAC